rnacentral:rRNA from 1 species
UUUAACAAAGAGAAGCAAAGCCGCGAGGUAGAGCAAAUCUCAAAAAAACAAUCUCAGUUCAGACUGCAGGCUGCAACUCGCCUGCACGAAGUCGGAAUUGCUAGUAAUCGUAGGUCAGCAUACUACGGUGAAUACGUUCCCGGGCCUUGUACACACCGCCUGUCAAACCAUGAGAGUUGGCAACACCCGAAGUCGGUAGUCUAACCGCAAGGAGGACGCCGCCGAAGGUGGGGUUGAUGAUUAGGGUUAAGUCGUAACAAGGUACC